AACAAUGCAGGUGAAAGCAGAAGAAUUUCCUUCAGUGCAAGGCAGUGAUUUUCCCUCUGUGGCAACAUUUAUAGAAGACAAACAGCUAUAGGAAGGUCUGUGUAGACAGGCUUUUCUGCAGCCUUGGGAACUCCUUGCUCCAUUGCUCAGGACCUACCAUGGCAAUCACAGAAGAGUAUUAGAGUAAAUGACUGAAUUUCUUUCCUCUAAAGGGGGAAGUUACGUACUAUACUCUGCACUGAACUACUGCCCUACCACAGCUGAAAUGUGAGCUCCUCUGUCUGAGAUGCACCCACUGGAGUUGUCAUCUGCUCCUCUGCUGAGCUAAUUCACCUAAAUAACAUAAGAAUAGCCCUGAACAGGUAGUAAACAAAACCCAGUGUGACAGUAGGACAAUGGAGGAGCCCAGAUGCACUGGCAGCUGUAAGAUGAGGUACAAGUGGGGACAGCACCUUUUCAGUGGCGGCUACUGCAGAUCCACUCAUCCCCAACGAUACAACAUGACCUUCACAUCACUUUCUAUGCAGUGCUUGGCUGAAGCGGGGAGAUGUUAUUCUCUUCUCCUGACAGGGAAGACAGAGCUCCCCAUGGGCUGAAGGAACCAUCUUUUCAGUUUACUCAGUGGUAGAAAUAUUUGAAGCCACAUGAACAUGUGUGUGGCUGGCCCUAGGACUACUUAGUAAACACUUAGCUGUCAGCAUGUGUCACUGGAUUCAAAGCCAGAGAGAAAUCACUCCAUCUAUAUAUGUAGGCACUCAGAGAGCUGUCAGAAUAAUCUUAAUUUGUUACCUGCCUAGAUGUUAUGUUUUCAGGCCUUCUUGGAAGACUGUCAUGAAUUAAAAAGAAAAAAACCAAAGAACCCAAAGGGUUAAAUUAUCAUGUUUCCCUUCCCUCUUGCUUGUGGGGAAGAGGUGAAUGGGCUUUGUGAGUGAAAGCCCAGAGACAGUCAAUAGAAAGGAAAACUGCAUAGAAAAUAGUGUGCACCCCUCAAGUGUGUGGGGGCCACAGCCCCAAGGCAGCUGUGCUGACUGGCAAGAAGUACUCAG